CCUUUGUACACACCGCCCGUCGCUACUACCGAUUGAAUGGCUCAGUGAGGCGUCCGGACUGGCCCAGGGAGGUGGGCAACUACCACCCAGGGCCGGAAAGCUCUCCAAACUCGGUCAUUUAGAGG
rnacentral:rRNA from 1 species